GUGUUUGCUUCACAGGCGCAUUUACUAAAGUUGGAACAGUACAGAGAUUAGCACGGCCCCUGGGAAAGAUGAUAUGUGAAAUCCUGAAAACAAAAUCAACAUU
rnacentral:snRNA from 1 species